rnacentral:rRNA from 1 species
GGCUUUUUGAGUAUAAUUUAAGGUCGGGCCUGCCCAAUGAUUAAUUAAAUGGCCGCGGUAUAUUGACCGUGCAAAGGUAGCAUAAUCAUUAGUUUUUUAAUUGAAAGCUUGUAUGAAGGGUUUAAUGAAAAAAAUACUGUCUCUAUUUAAAUUUAUUAGAAUUUUAUGUUUAAGUUAAAAAGCUUAAAUUUAUAUUGAAGACGAGAAGACCCUAUAGAGUUUAAUAUUUUAUGUAAUUAUUGGUUAUUAAGAAUUUUAAAGGUUUAUUAUUUAAAGUAUUUAGUUGGGGUGAUUAAAAAAUUAGUUUAACUUUUUUUGUAUUUUUACAUUGAUUAAUGAAUUAAUGAUCAUUUAUUUAAGAUUAAAAGAUAUAAUUACCUUAGGGAUAACAGCGUAAUUUUUUUUAGAGUUCUUAUCGAAAGAAAAGAUUGCGACCUCGAUGUUGGAUUAAAAUAAAUUAUUGGUGUAGAAGCUAAUAGAUUAGGUCUGUUCGACCUUUAAAUUUUUACAUGAUCUGAGUUUAAACCGGUGUAAG